CAGGAAGUCAUUCCUUUUCUCUUGCUCUCUUCCUCCUGCUCUCUGCUCUGGAGUCGCCAUGUGACCACCAGGAAGACAGGACGCAUUCUGCCUGUGUCCACUAUAAGUGAACUACUUUCUUCAACUGCUGAUCCUGUCUGCAGAGUCUGAGAUUCCUCCAAAGCAACUCAAUGUGCUUGAGAUUUUUCCUUCCUUUUAAUUUUUUAACUGGCAGAAGAAUUGAACUUGAUCAAGACUCCUAGACUGUAUCACUUUGGGAAUUUGUCCAGGAUUUCUUCUGAGGAACACUGACUCAUCAAGUUAACUUCCAGCUGAGUUAACAGAUGGUGUGCUGGCAACGCUUUCAAUCACUCCUUACCUGUGUUAAAGGGUUCAAAAGGCAGCUUCUGGAAGGACCCCAGAAAAUGGUGCAUGGCAGUAUAUUCAUAGUGGCAGGAGCUACAAUCAAGAAAAACCAAUCAUUAAAAAUAAAGUUUUCCAUUCUAUUUAGUAACAGAAUUGGCUUAUUUGACCUACUUAUUUUUCCUUGAAGAAAUGUUGACUGUUCUGACAUUUGAUACUUACAGUGACUCCACAAAGGCACACUGUUCACAUGAUGUAGAAA